UGUAGAGCAGGGAGCAGGAAGCU
rnacentral:miRNA from 1 species